GAUGAACGCUGGCGGCGUGCCUAAUACAUGCAAGUCGAGCGAACGGACGAGAAGCUUGCUUCUCUGAUGUUAGCGGCGGACGGGUGAGUAACACGUGGAUAACCUACCUAUAAGACUGGGAUAACUUCGGGAAACCGUAGCUAAUACCGGAUAAUAUUUUGAACCGCAUGGUUCAAAAGUGAAAGACGGUCUUGCUGUCACUUAUAGAUAGAUCCGCGCUGCAUUAGCUAGUUGGUAAGGUAACGGCUUACCAAGGCAACGAUGCAUGGCCGACCUGAGAGGGUGAUCGGCCACACUGGAACUGAGACACGGUCCAGACUCCUACGGGAGGCAGCAGUAGGGAAUCUUCCGCAAUGGGCGAAAGCCUGACGGAGCAACGCCGCGUGAGUGAUGAAGGUCUUCGGAUCGUAAAACUCUGUUAUUAGGGAAGAACAUAUGUGUAAGUAACUGUGCACAUCUUGACGGUACCUAAUCAGAAAGCCACGGCUAACUACGUG
rnacentral:rRNA from 1 species